GGAUUCCUUAUCUUCUCUAUACGUUGGUGUAAUGGAGCCUGUCUUCCUGUGCUCUGGGGCAGAACACACGAAGACAGGCCCGUUAUGGGUUGCCGCUAUCAGUG
rnacentral:sRNA from 2 species